GCUGGAUGAGCUGCUGCAGAAGGAGAAGGAGUACCAGCAGGUCCUGAAGGCCACACUGCAGCAGAGAGCACACGACCUGGAGAUGGUCCGAGUCAGACACAGACCCCCAGACAUUUCACCUCCCUCCAUAUUCCACAUCCCAGCGGACCACGGGCCGGACAAGGAGCUCACUGAUUGGCUGAAAGAGAAGGGGGCAGACGCUGCCACCAUAGAUAAGUUUGUGCUGGAAGAAUAGAAACUGACUUACAUUUUCAAUGACGUUUCCAAAGAUGACCUCCACUGUCUACGUCUACGUAUCUACUGCCGUCACAACA